rnacentral:lncRNA from 1 species
GAGGCCGUCUGAGGCUGACGGAACCGCCGAGGAACGCAGAGGGUUUAGGUUAACUACCUGCGCCAUGGCUUCUGACUGUGACUCGCGUUUGAGAAAUGGAGUCGAUGCAUAAACCUGCAAUCUGCAUCAAUAUCUUAUUUAGGUGGGUUACUGACUGGGCUUUAUUGCACUUACGCUCGAAAUUACGAAACGGCAUGGCGUGCGGAGUUUUGAAUAUUUUAUAUUCCAGUUUCUGAUUUGAUGAUGCGUCUAACUAUCCAUCACGCACGAGAAAACGGAAACGAGAAAUAUCUCCCGUCCCGCCCUUCCAAUAAUCAACACAAGUUCACUCUCGACUCUCAUUUCUCUCUGAAACCCUUGAUUCUCGAAGAUGAGCUUCCUC